UGCCAUUUCUCCAGAAGAGCUGACCUGAGAGACACUAUCCACCUGCAUCUUCCUUGAAUUUAAUUUUUAUUACUAUUUUUACACAAAAUGAAAUUUAUAGGUCUCUACUGAAAUUCUGGGCCAGUUUUCAGGAAGAUGAACAGCAGGAGCCCAGCUGAUGGAGUUCAAAGCAUACAUUGUCGGAAGGGACUUACAGGUGGAAGAGAGAGAGUUGGGAGAGUUUACAGAAAGGCUGUCUGAAUAAGAUGACAUUGUCCUGAGUGUUACUAUAUGACAACUUCAUACUGCUUGGCAGUUCCAGAGCUGUGGCAAAUCCAAGAAUAAAGCCUGUUAAUCUACCUCAUUUCAAGCUGCAAGCAAGUGACAAGCGAAAAGAGAUCAUAAAGUGCAAGAAGGAUGAACUAGCUGGAGUGGAGAGGUCAGAUCUUGCACAUAUUUGGAACUUCUAAUCCUCUCAUGUGGAAGAUUGAUGAAAAUCUGGUGGCUGAAAAUGAUCAGUUAGCUAUUUAAGGAACUUUUCAAAGUCUGAAAACCUGACUGACUAAGGAACGGGUAUUAGUUUGCAUAAUGCAGAUUACAUAAAUGUCAAAGUUAAGGGCCCGAGGGAGUUGGCAAACUACUUCGAAUUUAAAAAAAAAAGUCACACAAUAUGUCUAACUUCAACUUCAGUAACAGCUUCUUACACAAUAGCAGUAAAAUACCUUUUGAUUACGUUAUUAAAAUAAGUGACCCCCCUUUUUGUUUUUUAACCACAAGUGAGUAUUUAUUAAGAAAAGUUGCAUGUUUUGCUUUACAUGUAUUUAUAUGCUGAAAGUUCAAUUAAGAUAAUUUCCUUAACAAAAUGCAGACAGUAAUCAGAGGGAUAGUCAUUCCAGACCACAUUGAAAAAAUAAGAACUGCUAAAAUCUAAGUAUCAAUUUUAUAACAGCUCACAAGUCCCUUGAGAGGCCUCUUCAAAGUUUAUUUGGUUUUGCUGUGUCAAAGGGAAAAAAAGAGGGAAAAAGUACGUGGUGAUAUGAAAACGCACACACUUGGGAUGUACUAAGGAGGAUGGUUUGCUGCCAACAGGUAAGAAGAGCUAUGGGAAACCAUUCUCCUCACCAGAAUAACUGACAAACAAAAAUAAUAAAAUAAAUAACACUUCUUCAGGCUCACAGUACAAAAGCCAACAGAUUUUUUCUAUCAUCUAACUUAUUUUUAAAGUGAAAGGUAGAUUAUGCAGGUAGAGAGCUGUAAUUUUCACACCAAAAUACCCUCUACACAAAACAGCUUGGCAGUUGUUUGUUUUAAACUGUUUAACGAUGCAUAGCCUCAAGACAUAGUAUAGCGAGGAUGCAAUGGAUUGGUAACAAAAUAUGGCUUUAUUAAAGUCCAAAUACAAAAAAUAACACUUAUACAACAGCAUUAAUAGCACAUAUUAUACUUAAAUGUGUGUAAUUUGAGGUCAGCAUAUUACUUCCCUCUCACAGGUUAGUAUCCAGAAUUUGUCAGCCUGGAUAUGGUGGGCUGUUUGCUUCAUUCGCACGAGUAGAAGCAUUCCUGAUUGGCUUCCUGUCAAGGUUCCUCCCCCACUCUGAACUCUAGGGUACAGAUGUGGGGACCUGCAUGAAAAAAACCUCCUAAGCUUAUCUUUACCAGCUUAGGUCAAAACUUCCCCAAGGUACAAAAUAUUCCCCCCCGUUGUCCUUGGACUGGCCGCUACCACCA